UCAGAAGUUGAUUAGGAUACACAUUC
rnacentral:piRNA from 1 species